ACAGAUACUGGUGGUGAGAGGUGAAUAGGGCCCCUGAACUGAAAGGUUGUGAUUUAGCAAAAAACAAACAAACUGCAGUUCUUAUCUAUUUCUUCAAGAUAUUUAUGUGAUCUCUGCCUAGGUCUAUAUUUACAGUUAUUAGCCGGAUCUGUGCAGUCAUCCCAGAGAAGAGUAAUAUUCAUUUCUUUCUCAGAGAGCAUACAAAUAAUCAGUUUGACAGUUUUCGAACAAAAAAUAUUUCUCAUUGAAUUUUUAUGAUGAUGAUGUUUCCACAGAUGUGUGCAGACUGGACACCACUGACAGAUACUGAAUUUUAAAGAGGACAUAAGGCAUUAUGAAAAGGAAUAUUGAUCAUCACUGAAGACUAUAUCUAAACUGUAAGUUAAGUUACUCUGUUUCAAGUAAACAACAAGCAUUUUUAAAAGCAUUUACUAUGUUCUGGGCACUAUGCUAAAUACUGAGAAAUCAUAGAAAGGCAAAAAAGCUCUUGUCCUCAAGGAUUUUGCAAUCUAACAAAGGAGACAAUAUACAAACUACUAUGUACCAAAAAGACAGAAUGGGAGAAAAGUCCUAAAUUGAGAGUCAGAAGACUCAGGUUCCCAUUUGAGGUUUGUCAUUAAUCAGUAUGUAGACUGUAUUGCAGGUGUUCAAUAUAAUACUUAACUGAUUAAUGGUAAAUAAUGCAUUUCUCUAAUCUUCACUUUCAUUGCUAUAACAGAACUAAACUAGAAACCCACGGAGUAAUGUCCUCUUGAUGUGGGACCCUAGGUUUACCUUGUACCACAAAUUUUCUAAGUUUUUUGGGUCAAACUAUAAGCAAGAAAAUUCCUUUGGUUCCUUGCAUUCAUUUUAAGGCUAAAGAGAGGGUAACCCUGAAACUUCAAAGGCUAAUGAUAAGAAAGACCCUUGAGAGAAUUAUCUUCCUAGAUCCCUCCUAGGUUCUCCUCUAGGUUUUGAGAUGGGCACAGAGAUAUACCUCCAGGCUGUGCUUUGAUACUAUUGGGUUGUACCUAAGACAUCUAUUUGUCCUAUAAAAUAUGAGGGUCACCCCCUAUGUCUUCAGGGCAUAAAAUACAGCUCUGGCCCCCAUCAGACAACCAACCUCCCCCCUACUUGUGCACAAGUUCAUACCCUCAAAUCAUCUAUCACCUGUUGUAAAAGAGUUGAUCCCUUCAAGGAGGUGGCUUGCCAUCAGUGCUGUUCUACAAGCCAAACUCAAACAUGAAUUGCAAAUUUUUAUUUCUAAGUUAAGUUAUAGAAUCUUGCAUUUUUUGCAAAGGGAACCCAUUGCCUCAAGACCUCCAUAAUAUUCUCAUAUUCUAUGUGUGAUAAUGGAGGAUCCAGACAUAUCUCUUUGCUUGCUGUGAAACAAACAGGCAAAUCUUACCUGUACUUCUACUUCCAGAAGUUUAGCAAUCAAGGACAAUAUGUUUAAAUAUCACAUAUAUGAUGAAAAGCACUACAGAAAAUAUAGGGCAUAACAUAAAUAUGACAGCUUUGAAGUCUGUCUUGUAGAAGAUGGGUUAGCCUCAUUCUGCUUGGCCCCAGAGGGCUGAAUUAAGAACAAUGGGUAGAAGGUGUCAAAAAGACGAAAAACUUCCUAAAAUCUAGAACUGCUGAAUAGUAGAAUGAGCUGCCUUAGGAUGUACUGAGCUCCUGUUGCAUAGAAGUCUUCAAGGGCAGGUUGGAUGAUUGCUUUCUGAUCAUAUUGUAGAUGGGUCUAGUUUAGGUAGGGGUCAGAGUUCCAUGGCCCAAAAGGUCCCUUACUGUGAUAAGCACCCUGAUUUCUUGUGAAAUGUGACAUAUGAGUAAUUCACUUGAUAUCUGGUUGGACUACAUGGCUUCUGAUGCUCCUUUCAACUCUGAGAUUUUGUGAAGACAUUCCACAAAGCAUAAGUGUAGUAUAAUGGACCCCUGACACUGAAGAGACCAUUCAAGUUUUAUUAAGAAUCCAAUCAUAUACAUAUAAAAUUUUUCUCUAACAACUAAAAGGAACAUUACUGGAUAUUGACCAAUCAUAUUCUUAAGUAUUACAUCAUUCUUAGCAGUGAAACUUUCUCACAGAAAAUUUAAAAAUUAAAAA